rnacentral:rRNA from 1 species
UACGUAGGGGGCAAGCGUUGUCCGGAUUUAUUGGGCGUAAAGAGCGUGUAGGCGGCCAGCUAAGUCUGCUGUGAAAACUCGAGGCUCAACCUCGAGCUGUCGGUGGAAACUGUCUGGCUAGAGUCCGGAAGAGGAGAGUGGAAUUCCUGGUGUAGCGGUGAAAUGCGCAGAUAUCAGGAAGAACACCUAUGGCGAAGGCAGCUCUCUGGGACGGUACUGACGCUGAGGCGCGAAAGCGUGGGGAGCGAACAGG